UAUACGACCGUACCGCAAACCGACACUGGUGCGCGAGAUGAGUAUUCUAAGGCGCUUGAGAGAACUCAGGAGAAGGAACUCGGCAAAUUGACACCGUAACUUCGGAAGAAGGUGUGCCCUAUUAGUGUGUAGUGAACAACGAAGCAUGAAUGGGUUGCAAAAAAUCGGUGGCUGCGACUGUUUAUUAAAAACACAGCACUCUGCAAACACGAAAGUGGACGUAUAGGGUGUGACGCCUGCCCGGUGCUGGAAGAUUAAAUGAUGGGCUGCAAGCUCUUGAUUGAAGUCCCAGUAAACGGCGGCCGUAACGAUAACGGUCCUAAGGUAGCGAAAUUCCUUGUCGGGUAAGUUCCGACCUGCACAAAUGGCGUAACGAUGGCCACACUGUCUCCUCCUGAGACUCAGCGAAGUUGAAAUGUUUGUGAUGAUGCAAUCUCCCCGCGGAAAGACGGAAAGACCCCAUGAACCUUUACUGUAGCUUUGUAUUGGACUUUGAACAGAUCUGUGUAGGAUAGGUGGGAGGCUUUGAAGCAGGGUCGCUAGAUCUUGUGGAGCCAACGUUGAAAUACCACCCUGGUGUGUUUGAGGUUCUAACCUAGGUCCAUUAUCUGGAUCGGGGACAGUGCAUGGUAGGCAGUUUGACUGGGGCGGUCUCCUCCCAAAGCGUAACGGAGGAGUUCGAAGGUACGCUAGUUACGGUCGGACAUCGUGGCGAUAGUGCAAUGGCAUAAGCGUGCUUAACUGCGAGACUGACAAGUCGAGCAGAUGCGAAAGCAGGACAUAGUGAUCCGGUGGUUCUGUAUGGAAGGGCCAUCGCUCAACGGAUAAAAGGUACUCUGGGGAUAACAGGCUGAUACCGCCCAAGAGUUCAUAUCGACGGCGGUGUUUGGCACCUCGAUGUCGGCUCAUCUCAUCCUGGGGCUGUAGCCGGUCCCAAGGGUAUGGCUGUUCGCCAUUUAAAGAGGUACGUGAGCUGGGUUUAAAACGUCGUGAGACAGUUUGGUCCCUAUCUUCCGUGGGCGCUGCAGAUUUGAGGAAGCCUGCUCCUAGUACGAGAGGACCGGAGUGGACACACCUCUGGUGUAUCGGUUGUCACGCCAGUGGCAUUGCCGAGUAGCUAAGUGUGGAAGAGAUAACCGCUGAAAGCAUCUAAGCGGGAAGCUCGUUUCAAGAUGAGAUCUGCCGGGGCCUUGAGCCCCCUAAAGAGUCGUUCAAGACCAGGACGUUGAUAGGUCAGGUGUGGAAGC
rnacentral:rRNA from 1 species